GUACACGCUGUGACUAGCAUAUCAAUAAGCGGAGGAAAAGAAACUAACAAGGAUUCCCCUAGUAACGGCGAGUGAAGCGGGAAGAGCUCAAAUUUGAAAUCUUAAAGGGUUUCCCUUUACGAAUUGUAGUUUAAAGAAGUGUUUUCUGUUGAGGUUUUGGUAAAAGUUCUUUGGAAUAGGACAUCAUAGAGGGUGAGAAUCCCGUAUUUGACCUUUACUUUCAACUUUGUGAUACACUUUCAAAGAGUCGGAUUGUUUGGGAAUGCAGUCCAAAAUGGGUGGUAAAUUUCAUCUAAAGCUAAAUAUUGGCGAGAGACCGAUAGCGAACAAGUACCGUGAGGGAAAGAUGAAAAGAACUUUGAAAAGAGAGUUAAACAGUACGUGAAAUUGUCAAAAGGGAAGCGUUUGACACCAGUGUUGUUUUUCUGAAAAUCAAUUAAAGAACUGUUUAUGCUAAGCUGUUUAGACUUUAUCAGCUAUCUGUUUAGUUUUGAGCUUUUCUUUAAUGCACUUUUCAGUUAACAAGUCAACAUCAAUUUCUUUCGCUGUAAAAAAGCUUGAGGAAGGUGGCUUGAGAUUCGUCUUAAGUGUUUAUAGCCUCUUGCCUAUGCAGUCGGAGAGAUUGAGGUCUGCAGCGUAGAUCCUUCGGGGCUAAAUGCAUUUGUGCUAAGUUAUAGCAUUUUAUAGACAACUUGUUGACUAUGAUUUGUCUUGUAGCUUACUCGCUUAUGUUAUUUUACCUACGCUUAGGAUGUUGAGUCGUAGAGCACGCAG
rnacentral:rRNA from 1 species